AUGAUAACAGAUGUACCAAAUAAUAAUAUGGGAGCCACUGAAUCACAGGAGGGGAAGGUUCUCCACAGUGAUGUUAGAUUCCAUCUCCUCUGUGGUCUGGUUCUCAACAUCUUUCACCUUUGGAAAGAAAUAGUGCCCAAAUAAUCUCCCUGCUCCAAACCAUCCUGUUCACUACUGUCAAGAGUCUCAUCUUGAAGCCAAGACCCCAUCUUGUCACCUUCUUCCUCAAGAACCUCUGCCUCUCAUCCUGCUUCCUAUUGUUCUUUUCCCUACCAAUAUCUCAUUUACAACUGCUGAGUCUUAACAAGGUAAUUUUCAAUUUGUUUUCUUACCGCUAACUAAGCUUUGCCCCCUUUAUCUGGGAUUUUAUACAUGUGGGCAUUUUUGUCUCUUUGUGUUCUUUGCUUCGAGGAGAAGGAGGGGUGAGGGAAGGUGAGAGGUCUACAUGUGUUUAGGCUGUGCUGGAUUCUAAUGAGUGGGUUCCGGUCUCUUUGGCAGGAAGGUACGCUAUAGCAUCUUGGACAAGCAUUGAAACUUGGUGAGAAGAGUAGACAGGACAGUAGAGUUGGCCAGACAAGAAAAAAACUAGGGACAUCACAGGAGGAGGGGUUUAAGUGAGAAACAGCAGGCAGAGUUGGAGAUCUGGUGAGUUGUAGGCUGGACCUGGUUAGACAACUGGGUGUCAGGAUCACAGCAACACAAGGAUCUAUAGUAGAGGCUGUGUAAAAAGUAGGGUUGGGCCAUUUCUCAAAGCAUAAUUAAAUCAGAUUGGUUAGGAAAAGCAAUACAAGAUACUCUACAAUAUGUGGUUGAAUUAGAAAUUUAAUCAGAUGGAUAUGUUAGCCAUUAAUAUGCAAGUUUAAAAUCAUAUAUAUUUAUUGAUUCUUUUUUGUCUUUUUUCUGCUCCUUUGGAGUAGUUAGGUGUGCUGGAGAUAUCACCAGAUAUAGAUUAAAAGAGAUCUGAGUUUGUGGAAGAUUAUAUUUUCUAGUGAUGGCCACAUCAAUAUCUCCCACCUCCCAUUCUCUUCUGCAGUGUGACCUUACUACUCCUCCCCAUUAAGAGAAGGAGUCUAUUUCUCCUCCUUCUUGAGUCUGGGCAGGUCCUGUGACUACCUUGACAAAAAAAAAACCACCAAAAAACAAA
rnacentral:lncRNA from 1 species